ACUUCCAUAUGUCAACAGUCCUGAGUUUUUUCUGUUCCAUACAUAGUCAUAUGAAAAUACAGCAGUCAAAAGUCUGACAUUGUGAUCCCCAGUGUUCGGUGUCAUGUUUGUACCAUGAAGAACUGUGUAUUAUUUCUACAGUAACUGAUUUUAACAGUGACUUUAUCAUUGCCAUGGUAUUUUUUCCUUCAGUUUCCUUACUUUACUUCAGCUAUGUAUUAUUUAUUUUCCAAUAAAUUUUCUUCUCAUGUGUUAGGAUCUUACCCAGUGUGUUACAUGCCAAGAAAAACACAUUACUGUAAAGAAGGAACCACAUGAGUCCCUGGGAAUGACAGUGGCGGGGGGGCAGAGGAAGCAAGAGUGGUGAACUGCCCAUCUUUGUAAGCAGUGUGCCAGCUCAUGGCUGUCUGGCACGUGAUGGCCGCAUCAAAAGAGGUGAUAUAUUGCUGAAUAUCAAUGGCAUUGAUUUGACCAAUUGAAGUCACAGUGAGGCCAUGGCUAUGCUAAAAGCCAGCGCCGUGUCCCCUGCUGUUGUCCUGAAAGCACUUGAGGUCCAGAUUGUCGAGGAGGCAGCCCAGGCUACCGAAGAGCAGCCAGGCCCCUUCAGCGAGAAUGAGUAUGACUCCAGCUGGUCCCCGUCAUAGGUCAUGUGGCUUGGGCUUCCAAGUGCUCACACACCUACACCAGCUCCCCAGGGCACCUUCCCAGUUUCCAGUAGAAGCUCUCAGACAUUUACCAUAAAGCAAGAAUAACGAGGUGAGUGUGAAGGUCUAGCAGCCCCUCGAACUCACAGUACCCUCUCUACCCUGGUGGAGAGUGAAGGCCCUCCUAAAGUAGCCAAAGCCUACUCACAUGUUGCGCUGCUCCUGGGGUCCGCCGACCUCGUCAUAGCUGGAAUAAAUGCAUCCGAAUCAGGAGGAGGCCAGGAGGCAUCGCAUGAGAUGUCUGUGGAUGUUGGCUCUCACCGCCUGACCCUCGACUAGCCUGCAGCCCUGGGGUGCUCUCUGUUCUGUGCAGGGAUCCCAUUCAGCUCCUAGAUAAUCGCCUCCAGCUACUGGGGCUUCCUGAAUGCUUGCUGAAUAAAAGGGCCCAACCAGCCCAUCACCGACAUCUGAGUGGGCCUGGCCCCUGCUCACCCCCAGGGAUGCUUGCUCUGGAUUCACCCAGACACAGGCCCCAGAAGGAGUCUCAGAUCUCCCUUUCAGUGGCAAAGGAGCCCAGCUCAAGAUCAUAGUGAGAGUCAGGGAUGAGGCAGAGGCUUCAUCAUGAGGGGCGCAGGAAUGAGCAAAGAGCAUGCCCACAGGCCCUCCAGCAGAAUUUUCCACUGGCGCAGGCUCCCAGGUGUCCUUUCCCUACAAGACCCCACUGAGUCCCUAUAAUACCUCUGCCCCAGUUAGGAGCAAGGGAAGCUUGGGGAAGCUUGGGGACCUGCCAAAGUCUCACAACCAGGAAUUGGCCAAAUCCCACAGAGCAGUUAGGGGCAGGGGAGGGUGCUCACCUUGCAAAGAGGAGGUCCAGCACCUCCUGGGUGGUGGCAAAGUGACGGUAUGUGUCCAGAAAGAUGUGGACACUGUAGAUCUUGUCUGAUGACGGCAGGCACCAGGUGAUCUAUUGCGGCCUGCAGCUUGUCGGCCCGCUUGGCCAGCAGCACCGAGGUCUUCCUCCUCUUCCUGGUUGAACGAUUUUUCCCCUGAGGUGAAUCAGAGGAGACAUGAGUCGGUGCUGUGGCC